rnacentral:rRNA from 1 species
UUCACCCUACGGGACGCAGCAGUGGGGAAUAUUGGGCAAUGGGCGCAAGCCUGACCCAGCAACGCCGCGUGAAGGAAGAAGGCUUUCGGGUUGUAAACUUCUUUUAUGAGGGACGAAAGAAAUGACGGUACCUCAUGAAUAAGCCACGGCUAACUACGUGCCAGCAGCCGCGGUAAUACGUAGGUGGCAAGCGUUAUCCGGAUUUACUGGGUGUAAAGGGCGUGUAGGCGGGACUGCAAGUCAGAUGUGAAAUCCGGGGGCUCAACCCCCGAACUGCAUUUGAAACUGUUGGUCUUGAGUAUCGG